ACCUGGCUGGCUCAGUUGGUAGAGUAUGGGACUCUUAAUCUCAGGGUCAAGAGUUCAAGCUUCAUGUUGGGUG
rnacentral:tRNA from 1 species